GAUGAACGCUAGCGGCAGGCCUAACACAUGCAAGUCGAGGGGCAGCGGGAGUGCUUGCACUCGCCGGCGACCGGCGCACGGGUGCGGAACGCGUAUGGAAUCUACCUCUUUCUGGGGAAUAGCCCAUGGAAACGUGGAUUAAUACCCCAUAGUAUUCAGAAAUCGCAUGAUUUUUGAAUUAAAGCUUUGGCGGAAAGAGAUGACCAUGCGUAUCAUUAGCUAGUAGGUGAGGUAACGGCUCACCUAGGCUACGAUGAUUAGGGGUCCUGAGAGGGAGAUCCCCCACACUGGUACUGAGACACGGACCAGACUCCUACGGGAGGCAGCAGUGAGGAAUAUUGGACAAUGGUCGAAAGACUGAUCCAGCCAUGCCGCGUGCAGGAUGAAUGCCCUAUGGGUUGUAAACUGCUUUUAUACGGGAAGAACACCACCCACGUGUGGGUGACUGACGGUACCGUAAGAAUAAGGACCGGCUAACUCCG
rnacentral:rRNA from 1 species